GUUGAGGACCACUGCUCCCAACUUUACGAACUCCUGGCUUGCACUCCGUCCCAGUGCAUCCUCACUGCGUCUCUACCUCAUGGUUGGAGUACAUGGUAUUAUUCUCACUUUGGGGACGAGAAGACGACGGGGGUCAAAGGAGUCUUCGUUUGCAGGCUGUGCUGUGCGGGAGUACACAACACACAAGCAACUGGCUGCAGUUCGACUCAAAGAUUUAGGAAGAAAAGUUAAUAUUUACAACCUUGGAGGCUACUUAUUGAAGAUGGUGGCAUCACAGGAUGGAAGAAGCCUGGAUCCCUGAGUCAACAUUUAUAAGAGAGACAUCCAACUGGCAAUGGAUUCUGAAAUGAAUGAGAAAUAAACUAUUACUGUCAUUAAGAUCUGGCAGUUCUUUGUUAGAGCCGGU
rnacentral:lncRNA from 1 species